UACGUAGGGGGCGAGCGUUGUCCGGAAUCAUUGGGCGUAAAGCGCGUGUAGGCGGCUUGGUAAGUCCGGUGUGAAACCUUGGGGCUCAACCCCAAGCCUGCACUGGAUACUGCCUCGCUUGAGUCCGGGAGGGGAGAGCGGAAUUCCUAGUGUAGCGGUGAAAUGCGCAGAUAUUAGGAAGAACACCGGUGGCGAAGGCGGCUCUCUGGAACGGUACUGACGCUGAGACGGCGAAAGCGUGGGGAGCGAACGAGGA
rnacentral:rRNA from 1 species